rnacentral:rRNA from 1 species
ACACAUGCAAGUCGAGGGGCAGCAUGAUUGAAGCUUGCUUCAAUUGAUGGCGACCGGCGCACGGGUGAGUAACGCGUAUCCAACCUUCCGUACACUCAGGGAUAGCCUUUCGAAAGAAAGAUUAAUACCUGAUGGUAUGAUGAGAUUGCAUGAUAGCAUCAUUAAAGAUUCAUCGGUGUACGAUGGGGAUGCGUUCCAUUAGGUAGUAGGCGGGGUAACGGCCCACCUAGCCUACGAUGGAUAGGGGUUCUGAGAGGAAGGUCCCCCACAUUGGAACUGAGACACGGUCCAAACUCCUACGGGAGGCAGCAGUGAGGAAUAUUGGUCAAUGGACGAGAGUCUGAACCAGCCAAGUAGCGUGAAGGAUGAAGGUCCUACGGAUUGUAAACUUCUUUUAUAAGGGAAUAAAACCUCCCACGUGUGGGAGCUUGUAUGUACCUUAUGAAUAAGCAUCGGCUAACUCCGUGCCAGCAGCCGCGGUAAUACGGAGGAUGCGAGCGUUAUCCGGAUUUAUUGGGUUUAAAGGGAGCGCAGACGGGUCGUUAAGUCAGCUGUGAAAGUUUGGGGCUCAACCUUAAAAUUGCAGUUGAUACUGGCGUCCUUGAGUGCGGUUGAGGUGUGCGGAAUUCGUGGUGUAGCGGUGAAAUGCUUAGAUAUCACGAAGAACUCCGAUUGCGAAGGCAGCACACUAAGCCGUAACUGACGUUCAUGCUCGAAAGUGUGGGUAUCAAACAGGAUUAGAUACCCUGGUAGUCCACACGG